GACGAACGCUGGCGGCGUGCUUAACACAUGCAAGUCGAACGGAAAGGCCCUGCUUUUGUGGGGUGCUCGAGUGGCGAACGGGCGAGUAACACGUGAGUAACCUGCCCUUGACUUUGGGAUAACUUCAGGAAACUGGGGCUAAUACCGGAUAGGAGCUCCUGCUGCAUGGUGGGGGUUGGAAAGUUUCGGCGGUUGGGGAUGGACUCGCGGCUUAUCAGCUUGUUGGUGGGGUAGUGGCUUACCAAGGCUUUGACGGGUAGCCGGCCUGAGAGGGUGACCGGCCACAUUGGGACUGAGAUACGGCCCAGACUCCUACGGGAGGCAGCAGUGGGGAAUAUUACACAAUGGGCGGAAGCCUGAUGCAGCAACGCCGCGUGCGGGAUGACGGCCUUCGGGUUGUAAACCGCUUUCGCCUGUGACGAAGCGUGAGUGACGGUAAUGGGUAAAGAAGCACCGGCUAACUACGUG
rnacentral:rRNA from 1 species